CAUUAAUGAGAUGCGUUAUUUAGUGUGAUUUUUUAAAUUUUACUGUUUUGAACAGUUCAUUGUUAAAAUUCAAAACUUAGCCUUCACCCUCUUCUUUCCUUUUUUAAUGUAAUAAAGCAGUUUGGGAUUUAUUAGAGCAGAGCAAGAAGUCAAAUCACAUUCCAUUUUAUGUGGGGUAAGAAUCACUAGAGACAGAUUAUUUUUUAUGGGGUCCAUUCUUGAAUUUUCUUUAGCAAAAGAUUUUUAGUAAUUCAAAGUCUGAUGCAGUUUAGAUAUAUUACUUAACUUUAAAAAAUAAUAUUUUGAAUGUUUCAAGAGAACUCAGUUUAUAAGCCAUUUGGUUAUUAAUUACUCCGCCUUUUUUGGUAGAGAGAACUGAAGUUGAAGUUCUGUUUUAAGGUGCCUUUUUCAGAAGGGGCUGUUGCUGUUACAGGUCCAAGUUGAAAAAUCAAGACCUGAGUAGCAGCUGAUAAGUAUAAAGUCUGGUGAAAUAACAUGCUAAAUCAUAUUGCUAAUCCUAAUUUGUGACUGUGCUUCUCAGUAAAAAAGAAAUGUGAGCUAUGGUUAAACACUAAGCUACCAGUGAGAACAAAAUGCCUGGUAGAUGAAUUGGAGGAGUGGUAAACCAGUCUUUAUUGUCUAAUUUUAAGAGUCAGUGAUCUGAAAAAAUAAGGACAAAGGAGUUAAGAAUAGGAGGCAAAAAUAGCAUGCUGUUUACAUUUAAAAUACCUUUU